GAGAGUUUGAUCCUGGCUCAGAGCGAACGCUGGCGGCAGGCUUAACACAUGCAAGUCGAGGGGUAUAUGUCUUCGGAUAUAGAGACCGGCGCACGGGUGCGUAACGCGUAUGCAAUCUACCUUUUACAGGGGAAUAGCCCAGAGAAAUUUGGAUUAAUGCCCCAUAGUAUAAUUGAAUGGCAUCAUUUAAUUAUUAAAGUCACAACGGUAAAAGAUGAGCAUGCGUCCCAUUAGUUAGUUGGUAAGGUAACGGCUUACCAAGACAAUGAUGGGUAGGGGUCCUGAGAGGGAGAUCCCCCACACUGGUACUGAGACACGGACCAGACUCCUACGGGAGGCAGCAGUGAGGAAUUUUCCGCAAUGGGCGCAAGCCUGACGGAGCAAUACCGCGUGGAGGACGAAGGCCCGUGGGGCGAAAA
rnacentral:rRNA from 1 species